CUAGUCAAGAUCAUGUUGAUGAACCAUC
rnacentral:sRNA from 1 species